AACGAACGCUGGCGGCAGGCUUAAAACAUGCAAGUCGAGCGCCCCGCAAGGGGAGCGGCAGACGGGUGAGUAACGCGUGGGAAUCUACCCAUCUCUACGGAAUAACGCAUGGAAAAGUGGGCUAAUACCGUAUACGUCCUUCGGGAGAAAGAUUUAUCGGGGAUGGAUGAGCCCGCGUUGGAUUAGCUAGUUGGUGGGGUAAAGGCCUACCAAGGCGACGAUGCAUAGCUGGUCUGAGAGGAUGAUCAGCCACACUGGGACUGAGACACGGCCCAGACUCCUACGGGAGGCAGCAGUGGGGAAUAUUGGGCAAUGGGCGAAAGCCUGAUCCAGCCAUGCCGCGUGAGUGAUGAAGGCCCUAGGGUUGUAAAGCUCUUUCACCGGUGAAGAUAAUGACGGUAACCGGAGAAGAAGCCCCGGCUAACUUCGUGCCAGCCGCCGCAGUAACAC
rnacentral:rRNA from 1 species